GUGGGGAAUCUUAGACAAUGGGCGCAAGCCUGAUCUAGCCAUGCCGCGUGAUCGAUGAAGGCCUUAGGGUUGUAAAGAUCUUUCAGUGGGGAAGAUAAUGACUGUACCCACAGAAGAAGCCCCGGCUAACUCCGUGCCAGCAGCCGCGGUAAUACGGAGGGGGCUAGCGUUGUUCGGAAUUACUGGGCGUAAAGCGCACGUAGGCGGAACAGAAAGUCAGAGGUGAAAUCCCAGGGCUCAACCCCGGAACUGCCUUUGAAACUCCCAGUCUUGAGUUCGAGAGAGGUGAGUGGAAUUCCGAGUGUAGAGGUGAAAUUCGUAGAUAUUCGGAGGAACACCAGUGGCGAAGGCGGCUCACUGGCUCGAUACUGACGCUGAGGUGCGAAAGCAUGGGGAGCAAACAGGAUUAGAUACCCUUGUAGUCC
rnacentral:rRNA from 1 species